UCGUACUGAUGUCCCUUUUGUUGGGGAAGCUGCAUUUCAUGUAUGCAGGUCCUGAUAGACAGCUGGAUAAACCUUUCCAGUAGACAAAGAUAAACAGCAGCUUGGUUGAUUCUGGAGCUGAGUAGCUGUGAAGACGAGGCUCUACACUGGAGACGUACCAGCGUACCAGAUUCAUGCUAACUUUUUGUUUAGUAUAGCUUAGGAUUUCAUUUCUGCUUAUGUAACUUUCAAACAGAUAUUAUAUUUAUUUCUCA